rnacentral:lncRNA from 1 species
UAGGGAAAGAGAGAAAGAACGGUUGUAUGUGUGUCCAAACGUGGCUCCGCCACUGUUCCCAAUCAUCUCACUAGUAACCCACUACAUACAUUGUUUACAUGGUACAAAAUAUAGCUUCGAAGCUCCACCGCUCCGGCGAACUCAAUCUGCACAACCCCGGCGAAAUUCAAAACCGCUUCCGUGGAUACUAUUCCCGAAAACUCGACCAGCAAAGUCCCAGCAAGUCCAC